rnacentral:rRNA from 1 species
GUUGAACGCUGGCGGCAGGCUUAACACAUGCAAGUCGAGCGGACGGACGAGACUCUCUCUCUGCUGUAGCUACCGACGGACGGGUGAUUAACACGUGGCUGACCAACCUAUGAGAAUAACAUAACGUCAGGGAAGCGGAUCUCACAUACGUCAAUCUUUUGAACGGCAGGGUCCAACAGUGCAUGCGCGUCUUGCUGUGCCUAAUACAUGGAACCGGGCUGCAUUAGCUAGUUGGUAAGGAAACGGCUUACCAAGGCAACGAUGCAUGGCCGACCUGAGAGGGUGAUCGGCCACACUGGAACUGAGACACGGUCCAGACUCCUACGGGAGGAAGCAGUAGGGAAUCUUCCGCAAUGGGCGAAAGCCUGACGGAGCAACGCCGCGUGAGGGAUGAAGGUCUUCGGAUCGUAAAACUCUGUUAUGAGGGGAGAACAAAUGUGUAAAAUACUCUGGGCAUGUUGACGUUACCUGAAGAGUAAGCACCGGCUAACUCCGUG